CAUGCAAGUCGAGCGAACGGACGAGAAGCUUGCUUCUCUGAUGUUAGCGGCGGACGGGUGAGUAACACGUGGAUAACCUACCUAUAAGACUGGGAUAACUUCGGGAAACCGGAGCUAAUACCGGAUAAUAUUUUGAACCGCAUGGUUCAAAAGUGAAAGACGGUCUUGCUGUCACUUAUAGAUGGAUCCGCGCUGCAUUAGCUAGUUGGUAAGGUAACGGCUUACCAAGGCAACGAUGCAUAGCCGACCUGAGAGGGUGAUCGGCCACACUGGAACUGAGACACGGUCCAGACUCCUACGGGAGGCAGCAGUAGGGAAUCUUCCGCAAUGGGCGAAAGCCUGACGGAGCAACGCCGCGUGAGUGAUGAAGGUCUUCGGAUCGUAAAACUCUGUUAUUAGGGAAGAACAUAUGUGUAAGUAACUGUGCACAUCUUGACGGUACCUAAUCAGAAAGCCACGGCUAACUACGUGCCAGCAGCCGCGGUAAUACGUAGGUGGCAAGCGUUAUCCGGAAUUAUUGGGCGUAAAGCGCGCGUAGGCGGUUUUUUAAGUCUGAUGUGAAAGCCCACGGCUCAACCGUGGAGGGUCAUUGGAAACUGGAAAACUUGAGUGCAGAAGAGGAAAGUGGAAUUCCAUGUGUAGCGGUGAAAUGCGCAGAGAUAUGGAGGAACACCAGUGGCGAAGGCGACUUUCUGGUCUGUAACUGACGCUGAUGUGCGAAAGCGUGGGGAUCAAACAGGAUUAGAUACCCUGGUAGUCCACGCCGUAAACGAUGAGUGCUAAGUGUUAGGGGGUUUCCGCCCCUUAGUGCUGCAGCUAAC
rnacentral:rRNA from 1 species